UACGUAGGCAGCGAGCGUUGUUCGGAGUUACUGGGCGUAAAGGGUGUGUAGGCGGUUCUUUAAGUUUGGCGUGAAAUCUCCCGGCUCAACCGGGAGGGUGCGUCGAAUACUGAGGGACUAGAGUACGGGAGAGGAAAGUGGAAUUCCUGGUGUAGCGGUGAAAUGCGUAGAUAUCAGGAGGAACACCGGUGGCGAAGGCGGCUUCCUGGACCGACACUGACGCUGAGGCGCGAAAGCUAGGGGAGCAAACGGG
rnacentral:rRNA from 1 species